rnacentral:lncRNA from 1 species
CAUAAAUUUGAUAUGAAAUUAAUGAUCGCGAUAUAUUUAGAUUAACAAAACUUGUAUUAUCUCCAUUCUCUGUAUGACUUGUUACAUUCUUCACAAGUUUUGCAUGUAUGUUGUUCUAAUUUAAUUUAUUUUCUUUUAGAAUAAUGUAUCCACAUAAAAAUAAAAGUGUAACACAAACCAAUAAGUUCAUCAUAUUCAUGCCAAGUGAAAAUGUAUUUCAUAAAAAUGUUACAUAUACAUAUGAUCACCAACAUACAUUGGUUAUAAAAAUUUAUAUGACAUGAAAUCAAAAAUAAAAAUAAAAAUGUGCCUCCAUAUAAUCGCGAUCAAAAUAUAACCUCUUUUUAACUCCUCAAAAAUAGCUCGAAUAACAUUUGAUUGAGCGAGCGUAGCUUAGGUUAUUCUCGAUACGUUGAAAUUGAAAUUAAACUUAUAGUUGAGGAGGAGGAGGACUAAAAGUUGGGAAUGCAAAUUUACCAUGGUUAUGGCACAUAUCAUAGCAUUCUUGUUCAGCAUAUAAUGGACUUCCUUCACCACCAAAUAUACCUUUAUAACAAUUUUCAUAACAUUGUUCAUGUCCUUGUUCCAUUUUAAAUUUUCUUCCUGAAAAUUCAAAUACUGGCCCCUCAGGACCUUGGGGGUGGGGGUGGGGGUGGGGGUCGGGGUGAGGCGAGCAAGGUUGGGGGUGGGGGGGGGUGGGGUAUUUCCUCAUGUGCAUAUGCAAGUUUGCUUGAAAUAAAGAUAGUAACAAUGGCAAUUAAAAAGAUACUAGUAAUAUUUUUGUUAAUAGCCAUUAUUUCUUUUAAUUCCCUCUAUACUUUCCUAUUUUUUUCUAUGAGAAAAGUUAAAAAGAGGGAAUAAAAAAGAUAAUAUGAGAGUGAUAGAGGGAAAAGGUGUUUUUUAUAGGUGAAAAAAUGAUAAUAUUUUUGCUAAAAAUUAGGUUUUGGUAUAGAGUAUUUAGUGGAUUGUCCAUUAAAAAUUCUAAAUGUAAGAGAAGGGAUGUCCACCCAAAAGUCUAUUGUGGUAAAGAGAGAAAUAAGGAAGGAAAAAGAAAAAGGGAAAUUAUGAAUUUUUUUACGAGUUUAAGUUACAAGUUCACAUGGUACUUGCGCUUUUGCACUCAAUGAUGAAGUAGCCCAAGAGACAAAUUGUGUGAAGUCUGUUGAGCAAUGUUAUUGGCUUGGACCAUGUCAAAGGUUGCGACAUGCGGAAUACAAACCUAAUGUGCUUCAACUUUUUUCUGACUAUAGCAGAAACUUAGUACAUCGAACUAUCCCGUAUAUCUUGGCCCCCUUUUUUGUUUUUUGACAUAAAAUGAAAUGAUAUGUGGAUGCAAUUGAAGUUUGAAACUGCAUUUUCUUCAGUAACAACUUAUAUUCGUAACACAUUUUCCUUUACUAUCUUAAUUGAUAAUUAAGUCUAUUAUUGUGCACAUUUGAUGUCACUUAAAAUAUCAAAAACAACAACUAUUUAGCUGAAAUUUCAUAACAAAGUGAGGCUAUACAAUAAUACAAAUGAUAGCUUACAUAUCAGCAAAUAAAGGCUAGGCCAGUUCUACUACUAAUGAAUUUACCUCUGAUCUUGAGGGAGAAAAUAGAUAAGGCUUGGGAGGCAUUUGCAAAGAGUCUAGUUUCCCUUCUAACAUUUCAACAACCUUGCUCAUCGAUGGCCGAUUUGAGGGAUCAGUCUGUAUGCACCAUAAACUCGCUAUCACCAUCUUUCUUGCACAUUCGUUCUCCUCUUCAUUCAUUAUCCCGAUUAGUUGAAGCUCUUCUUCUAGUUCAAGUCGUUGAUAAAGCCAAUGUGGAAAGUAGAUUUCACUAGUGCGAUCAACUCCUACAUCAACAUUUUUUCUUCCUCCAACCAUCUCUAGGACCAUCAUUCCAUAGCUAUAGACGUCAGACUUGUGAGAGACACCUCCCAAGUUUCUGCAAACAAUUUCCGGAGCAAUAUAGCCUAUAGUACCUCGUGGACCUAACAUUGACACGACACUCUCCUUUUUUAUGCAUAGUUUGGCAAGGCCAAAGUCAGAGAUCUUUGGACAAAAAUCCUCAUCAAGUAAGAUAUUAUGAGGCUUUAUAUCAAAAUGCAAAAUCCGAGUGUUACAACCACGGUGCAAGUACUCCAAUCCUCGAGCAAUGCCUAGUGCGAUUUUGUAUAAUAUUGGCCAACUUAAUUGGCGAACAUUGUCGGAUCUUUUUUCAUAGAUAAACUUUUCAAGAGAUCCAUUAGGCAUGAACUCAUAUACAAGAGCUCUUUUCUGUCCCUCAAAACAGAAUCCCACAAGGCUCACAAUGUUAACAUGUGAUGUUCUGCUAAUACUUGCCACUUCGUUAACGAAAUCUUCACCACUGCCUUUUAGUUCAUUCAGGACCUUCACUGCCACUUCACUCCCAUCACGCAAACUUCCUCUGUAUACAUUACCAAAUCCUCCAUGGCCUAGUUUGUUUCUGAAGCGACCGGUGAUUCUUUUGAUGUCUGUAUAAUUGUAUCUGUUUGGAGCAUAUGAUCCAUAGUUCUUUAAGAAUUCUUCAACUUUUUGAUGAUCCUCAGCAUUAGAUUCCCAACACCUGAGGUAUUUGUACCACAAAAUCUUUUUUCUGAAGCAGAAGAGUAAAAUCAACAGUCCAACAGUAAACAAACUUGCACCUGUGUGAAAAAGAUGAAGUCAUGCCCCAUCAGAGACUACAACAACAACAACAUAAUAGCCAAUGUAAUCCCACAAAGUAGGGUCUGGGUAGGGUAGGUGUAAGUAGACCUUACUCUACACCAUGGACCUUCGGCACGAGAAAAAAAAAACAGUUGGGAAAAGGAAAUAACAGAAAAUGAAGAGACCAUGGCAAAACACUACAGAAAGCAUGAUCAAACAUUCUAAACAAUAGCUACAACAUAAAAUAUGACAAUCGAAGCACAACAGUAACAGAAAUCUAGCAACUAGAUACAGGAUUAUUGCUAUGCUACUAAUAGGAAAGGAUAAUCGAGAACAUCUGCAAACCAAUACCUGUGGCCACCAUGAACCAGAUUAUCCGAAGGUAACCCCUUUUUGAUGUUCCAGCUGUUACAGUGCUAACAUUUGCAAUACCAAUACUUUUAAUAACAUCUGCAACACCAAAGCUUGUGUGAGUUUCAGAUUAUAAAACUUUUCUCCGAUUAAGCGAAAAAGUCUGAUAAUGAUAGAAGGAGAAAAAGAUUUUAAUUUGGAACGGAGGCAAGUUUUCCCCCACAUGGCUCCGCCCCUGGCCCUAACCCCAGUUUUGCUCCCACAUGGCUCUUCCCCUGCCUUACCCCAAGUUCUAAAACAGUGGAUAAGUACAUAUAUGGAGAUGUCUACCUUUGUGACAAGAAAAUUUGUUGGUUUUAUUAGUCUGGCAUUGACCUCCACCAUAAUGACAUUUGUUACAUUCCUCAGAUAAUUUCCAUUCUACUAGAAUUGCAGGACCUAACAUGUCGAACAAAUCACCAUGAGUUGCCUGAAUUGGCAAUCUGAUAAGUGAACAGUUGGUAGGAAGAUUGUCUGCUGCUAUGUAUUCAUCAUCAUGUCGGGAAAGGUUGUAGUAUAUGCUAAAGCCUUCACAGCCGGUGUACAUAUUAUAACCAGCAAAAUGAUCGUUCUUCUUCUGCGUAAUGUUACGGGUAUUAUUACUGGUACUGAUGCAUUUGUAGAAGCUUAUUAUAUUAAUCAUAUGGAAAGACAUAAAAGAAGAGUAUGGAAGGGAGAAAUUUUUGUUAAAAGCCUGGCACUUGUGUUGCGUCAACGUUGUUUGAAGCUUCGUGUCCCCAAGCCAAACUGAUAAAUUAUGCAUCUCUAAAGCAUAGUACUAAUAUCCCUCAGGAAGCAGUCGGAUUCUCGGAUAUGGUUUAGCAUCACAACCAGAUAAGAACAUUAUUCCACAUUCAGGUUGUGUAGAAAGAGAGAAAGGAAAGCUUAGGUCAGUAAAAUUUCCACAUGAAAAUGACUUUGGACAAGUUGAAUCAUUUCUGCCCUUUGCCUGAACUAAGAUCAGGAGAAGUGAUAGGAGAUAGCUUACAUAUGAAGUGAUAGCCAUAUUAAAUAUCUCGAGAAGAGGAAGACUAGAUUAUGAACUCAUUUGUUCACUACAACUUAACAUUUAAAAGCAUAGUUGAUUUGGAAAAUUUGUGAGAAACGUGUAUCAUGGUGUAAAGACUUGAAGUCUUGCAUCAUUAUUUAGACUUAGUCGUCAAGCCUAGUGAAGAGACAACUAUCACUUUUUUUUACUGAGUUUUAUAGCCAUUGUUCCUUUUACCUACCUAAACUAUAUAUAUCACUCUCUUUGUAUUAAAACACACCAUGAUGCAGAGUUCGCAAAACAGGCCAAUUCAACAUCGAAGGUAUGUUUUAGUACAGAUGGAGUGAUAGUUUAGAUAGGUAAAAGUGAACAAUGGAUAGUUGAGAUAUGAAACUCGCGAAAAGGUGAUAAGAGUUAAUGGGAAAAAACACACCUAUAUCAAAGUCUAUUCUAACAUUACUGGGAGUGGAAAAGUCUCAGAAUUAUCAAUAGAUACUUCCAACAUCUAAAGGACUUUUCUCCUCUACUUAUGCAUCCUAUCCUUUUCUCUUUUUUCUUCGUUUAGUCACAAUCAUUUUCCAAGUAGGACAGUACAUACAAUUCUAUUCUAACAUUUUUAGACAUAAAAUGCUAGAGAGACAAGAAUUGAACUUAGAGACUUAAUUUUCUUCACUAUACACUGAAAUUCCAAGAACAUUUUGCUUCAUAGUCUUUAUAUACAAAAUAAGUUAUCUGAGGAACAAAUUUUAUUUGACAGAACCUACAUAGUGUGCUUCUGAUGCCAAUGUUCAAUAGAACAUUUAACUAAGAAAUGAACCUACAUAAGUGUUGACAUUCUUGGGAAUGAUGUACUAGUUAAUCGUUUUCGUUCCAUCGCAUACUCGAUUAAAGGAGUUUUUUUUUCAAGAAGAGAGAUCUCAAACUUAAAGGACUGAGAACUCUUCUUCCUCAAGAAAUUUUGAAGAAUAGGGAAUUCAAGUCUUUUUAAUAUUUAACUUCCAUGUAGUAAUAUACAUCCUUGACAACUAAUGAAAAUCACAAAAUGAAAUUGAAAGCUAUGGUUGAACACUUGAACUAAACCUUUCUUCUCUUUGCUAGUUAAGUACCAACAAGUACUUAGUUAACUAAACUGUCUUGCAUUUCUUUCAAACCAUUUUCUGCAAAACGAUUUUCUUGAGCUUAGGGUCUAUCAGGAACAACCUCUCUACUCCACAAAGGUGAUGCAAGUUUUGCAUACACCCUACUCUUCUCACACCCCACUUGCGGGACUAUACUGGAUAUGUUGUUGUUGUUGUUGUUGUUGCCAGUUCUAUUGUUGAUGAAUCUACCUCUGAUCUUGAGGGAGAAUAUAGGUAAGGCUUGGGAGGCAUUUGCAAAGAGUCUAGUUUCCCUUCUAACAUUUCCACAACCUUGCUCAUCGAUGGUCGAUUUGCCGGAUCAGUCUGUAUACACCAUAAACUUGCUAUCACCAUCUUUCUUGCACAUUCGUUCUCCUCUUCAUUCAUUAUCCCCAUUAGUUGAAACUCUUCGUCUAGUUCAAUUCGUCGAUAGAUCCAAUGUGGAAAGUAGACUUCACUCGUGCGAUCAACUCCAACAUCAACAUUUUUUCUUCCUCCAACCAUCUCUAGGACCAUCAUUCCAUAGCUAUAGACAUCAGACUUGUGAGAGACACCUCCCAAGUUUCUGCAAACAAUUUCUGGAGCAAUAUAACCUAUAGUACCUCGUGGACCUAACAUUGACACAAUACUCUCCUUUUUUAUGCAUAGUUUGGCAAGACCAAAGUCGGAGAUCUUUGGACAAAAGUCCAGGAUAUUGUGAGGCUUUAUAUCAAAAUGCAGAAUCCGAGUAUUACAGCCACGGUGCAAGUAUUCCAAUCCUCGAGCAAUGCCUAGUGAGAUUUCAUAUAAUAAUGGCCAGCCUAAUUGGCGAACUCCGUCAGAUCUUUCCUCAUAGAUAAACUUUUCAAGAGAUCCAUUUGGCAUGAAUUCAUAAAUAAGAGCUCUUUUGUGACACUCAAAACAAAAUCCCACAAGGCUCACAAUGUUAACAUGUGAUGUCCUGCUAAUACUUGCUACCUCAUUAAUGAAAUCUUCACUAUUACCUUUUAGUUCAUUCAGGACCUUCACUGCCACUUGACUCCCGUUAGGCAAACUUCCUCUGUAUACAUUACCAAAUCCUCCUUGGCCUAGUUUGUUUUUGAAGUAACUGGUGAUUCCUUUGAUGUCUGUAUAGCUGUAUCUUUUUGGAGCAUAUGACCCAGAGUUCUUCAGAAAUGCUUCAAUAUUUCUGUGAUCCUCAGCUAUAGAUUCCCAAAACCUGAGAUUUCUGUGCCAGAAAAUCUUUUUUCUCAAGCAGAAGAGCAAAAUCACAACUCCGAUGCAAGAGAAAACUGCAAAUGUGGGGGGAAAAUGGAAAGUCAUGCACCGGAAAGAGCCUGGUUUUGAGGCAGCACAGCGAUUACAACAUUUGCAAAACAUAUAUUAAAAUAAUUCUAAGUUAGAUCAAGGCAUUACGAGAUUUUUGUGCAAGUCUAAUUACAGAUAUUAGACAUGUACCUGUGCCUAGAAUCAGUCCCAAGUUUCUUUUUGCUUCUGCAAAUACACAGAAAUGAAAGAGUAAUAAGUCACAAUAAGAGUGAAAGCAAUUCACUUCCGUUCACGUUGAAUUAUUAAACAUCUUGGAAUGAACCAACCAACACACAUCUAAAUCCAUACCAAAAAUGAAACCAGACAUACACAAGCAACUGACAAACUUCUUAUAUCCAAUACCUUUGCAGCAAAAAAAGUUGUUUUCGAUGUCACUCUGGUAUCGCCUUCUUUAUGAGAUAGUUAGAAUAGUUUAAAGACAAUUCCCAAUCUAAUGUGAAACUAGGAGUCAAUAGAUCAAACAAAUCAGAAGAAUUUUGUUCUGAAGGUGAAUGAUGAAUUUGCAGGAAGAUUGCUAGCUAGAAUACUACGUCUUUGAUCAGUUCGUGGUUUAUGACACUAUAUGCUAAAGGCAUCACGACUCAAGUAGUUCUUAUAACUUUGAAAUAACUAUCAAUCCGCUUACUGUUAUUUGAAUGUACAAAGUAAUAUGUUGUUGACUUAAAAUAGAACACGAGGUGGGAAAAGAUAACUUAUGGUUCCAAUUCUUCGACAACGAACUCUGAAGUUUCACCUUGUUGGUGUUCGAUUCCUCAUCUUUUAAUACCCUCUCCCAUUUCCCCUUCGCCUACCACCAAUUUUUUUAUUUAUCUUUUCUUUUAAAAAAAAAAAGUUGGCUGCUCAAAAUUUUGCGGUUAACACAUAAUCCAAAUCCUUAAUGCAGCUAUAUCUUGAUGCCUAGAUCAUCAAACGAUACUUUUUUGUGCACUUGGUAAUCACAAGAAAAGAACCUGAAGCACGGCACCUAAUCAUAAGAUAAGGUUCUUCAUAAUUAUACUCGAAAAUUAACUGCUAGAUAGGGGCUUACUGGUAGGUUGGCAACUCGAAGCAUGAGGCCUGUCAGUGCAGAAACAUUUGAAUUGAUAAUUGAUGACAUCAAAUCCGCAACGUCCCCCACUUUCUGUACACUCACUGCAGUCACUUGAUAUCCAGCUCAAUCUAAACCCCCUUCUCAGUAAGACUUGAUAGUCAAUAACUCGAUUACUCCCCUCAUUUCCAAGCAGUUCUACUGGUAUUAUUACAUGAUCUUUACACGCUUGUAAUGCAGACUCAAAGCCUUCAUCAUCAUCAAACAUUGCAAGAAACCAAUCAUUCACAUUUUCUCCACCACAACCAAAACCAACCCUGUGCUUCAAAAGAUCCUCGGAUAUCGAUCCAUUACACUUUGACAACAAGUGAAUUCCUGAUUCCUUAACAAACUCAAAAGGGAGAUCAUCGAGUGACACGUUCUUGAUAUCAGAAACACAUCCAUUCUUUACACUACUGUUAAAGAUUGAAUUUUUAAGCUGAAAAGUAUCAUCUUGAUAUCUAAUAUCUUCAACUAUAUACUCAUUUUCAGUAAUACGUACAACAGGAAACCCUUGUUCACUACAAUUUAGCCCAAAUCCAGGGUAUCCACAGUAAGAUUCUUGAACAUCUUCAAUAUAAAAUGGGAAGCUUAUUCUUGGACCAUAUCUACAAUUUACUGGUUUAUUACAUACUACAAACUGUGGAUCAACAACAGCACAACAUUUAUCUAUUUGCAAAAUGAAACAGAAAACACAAAGGUUUAACAAUGCUAUCAAGAUAGACCUUUUUUCUUGGUUCAUCUUUAAGCUUAAACAACUGAAAAAUAUACUACUACACAAGUAGAUAAUGAAAAAUAUACCAAAGAGAGGAGGGGUUUCUUGGAUUUUACCUUCUUGUUAGCAAUAAGUUGACUUCAUUUUGUCUACAUAUUCCAUACAACUCUGUAUCUACCAAAAUUGAAUUUUCAAGAUUAAACUUUACUGGGGUCAAGCUUCUUUUUUUUUUACAAGCAUAGCGCUAAUUUCACACAAUAUUUGGCAUCUCCUAUUAGCAACAAGUACAAAAUAACUCUAAUGGGUCAAGUUUUUAAUGAAGAAGUUGCAAUUAUUGACCAAUAAUCUAUUUGACUAAGCUUAAAAAUGUAUGCUUUUGAGACAUAGUCCAUAUUCACACACGAUAAAGAAAAAACACAAUACAUAAAUAUAAAUAGGAUCCUUAACUUGACGUCAAUUGACAAUUAUGACCUUUGACUUUAGAUGUACACAAGUAGACACUUAAACUUGUAUAAAAUUGAGCAAAUGAACACGAUCGUCUUACGUGGCACCCUACAUGACAAUUUUGUAUCUUACAUGGCAUCGCAUCCUAUGUGUAUUAUGCCAUGUAGGACAGUUGUGUCUACUUGUUCAAUUUUAUAAUAAUUUAAGUGUCUACAUAUUCAAAGUUAGAAGACAUAGUUAUUCGUUGACGUCAACUUAAAGGUCAUAUUUAUGAAUUAUGCCAAAAGAAAAUAUACAAGAUAACACCAAGGGAGGAAGGUGUUGUUCUUUUAUUUUUUUUCCUCCCUUUUCCAUUCUUUUGGACUACAAAAAUAAUUAUUUGUCUAAUAUUAAUAUGACUUCACUUGUAUUCACAUUCUAUUGACUUUCUGAGUUAAUUUCUCAAAUGAUCACUCAAAAAGUUAGUUAUAUCCCACAACAAGGGGUGGAAGCCCGGAGCUAGAAAGCUACUUUACCUAUAAGUUUGGUUAAACUCAAUAAUUUUAGUCUAGACUGUCGCAUGACACCCUCCUGAGAUGUCUUGGAAGGGUGACAUGAGGCAAAGUAACCCGACUUGGGUGUGAUUACUUUCUGUCAACGUCAACGACAACGUCAAAAACAUAAUAUAUUAAUUCAGAAUCAAAUGAAAAUUUGCUUGUAGUAGAGAGAAACAAUUGCAAGAAAACCAACAUUGUGCUGAGGGAGAGGAAACACCAAUGCAUUGCUUGCUGAAAUUCUUGAUUCCACUUCGUUGUCGUAAAAACUCAGAAUUCAUAAAGUUCAAAUCAUGAUAUCACUUUUUUUUUUAUAAAUGAAUUUGUCUCGAGUUUUACAUACGAAUUCAAAUUAGUCUGACUAAUGAAUUUCGGUGCUCAAUGGUUACAUAACAACUUUAUAAUAUAUAUCAUUGCAAGUGGACUGUAUCAUUUAUUUAGAUAAUGGACUUGUGGAACAAGCAGGCCCAGACAUAUAGGGCCCAAAUCUACAUCUUUAACAGCCUGUUAAGAGUUAAUGGAAUCAACAAUAGGCAGAAGUGGAAAAUAUGUCAUAGUGCUAAUAGUAAUGAAAAAAAAGAUUUUUUUUUUAUAUAAAUGUUAAGAAAAAUCAAUUUUAUCCCAAGAUUUUGAACUAUGCGAUCAUCUCUGAUACGAUAUCUCAUCUAAAAACUUAAGCUGUUAGAAAAAAAUGUAAUUUUAUUAGUUAAUUAUAUUCUCGAUAAAAAGAUCCAUACUACUAUAUAUCUGAUAUUACAAUAGAAGACGUUAUCGCCUGAUUAUAUUUGUGCAUUACAAAUAUGUUUGAACAGAUCCAGUGAUAAUGGUAUAUUACUCAGCUCCUUCCUUUUGGUAAAAUAUAACACAUGAAGUCUUCAAUUUGAAAGAUCGUUUUCUUCCAUUUAAGUUGUGAAUAAUUAUUAAAGAUCGUUUUCUCGAUAAUGCAUGGUACAAACAUCAUAUAUUGCUAAAUAAUGGACUAUAAUUUAAGGGCAUAGAAACUAGGUAGAUGUCAAUUUUGUUAUAUAAAUGUUUUUAUGUAGUGAAGCACUUGAAAUCACACAAAUCACCAAGUUGAGUAACAACAUCAAUUGUCUAGCCAAAGUCAUCUCAAGUCAUUUUCAAUAAAAUAAAACUUAUUAUAUUUUUUUCCAACUAAAAUCCACUCACCUGUUUUUUUUUUCCCUCUUCCAUUAAUGCAUUGAAAAGUAAAUGCUUGUUACAUCAAGUUAAUUUUGUGACUUGACAUCUUAGAAUUCUUGUUCUAUUUCAAACUACUUACAUAAUUUUUGAAAAAGUUAAUUAUAAUAUUUGAACAUGAAAGUAAAACGCUCCUUAUCAAAAACGAUUAUGUUCUCACGACUUGAACGAGAAACUUAUAAUUAAGCAAAACGCUUCGUUUUGUUUUUUGUAUUUGUUAUUUUGAUGUAUGAUAUUCAUUUUUGAAGUCUGAUUAAUUUAAAUUUAUACCACGAAAUUAAGAUCUAUUAAAGCGAAAAAAAACCCUAUAACAUGAUAAUUAUAGGGAAAAAACUACUAGAACUUUAAUGUUGAAAAAGUUUUAGCCAAAGUCCUUCCAUUUGAAGAAAAUAGACUAUACUUUAAAAAGUAUUUACAUGUAUUAUUAUGCAAUGAUUAACUUAUAAAUUCCUACAAUGAGUGGCAAAUAAUAGGUUUCAAUUUUCAAUUGGUUAAUACCAAUUGGAAGCCAUAAUUAUUUCAUUAUUAGUCUUGUAAAGUAAACUUCCUUUUAGGUAUUAAAAUAUACUCGAUAUUUGCCACCAUCAACAAUUAUUGUGAAAUGAAUAUAUACUAUUUUUUUUUACAAUUGUUCAAUUCAAAUCCUAGAAAAUAUUUCUUUAUAUUAUGCGAAUUUAAAUUAGUCAAAUCAAAAACUUUUUCGUAUGUUUGUAAAUAAAAAAUAAAAAAAAAUCUAAUUUGAUAUUUAAUAUUUGUAUUAAAGCUUGAUAAAAUUUGAAUUCGUACAAUGAACUCUCACAUUAAAAGGUAAAACUUUCUCUAUCAUAAAAACUUAAACUCGAAAUAUCUGAUUUAACGACGAAUCAAUACUUGAAUGUCCACUUGCUUUUUAAGUCUUAUUCCUUAGAAAUUUAACAUUAUAAUCUUCUAACAUUCCUUUGGCCCCAUGACAUUGACUUUGUAAUAUCCUACUUGCUUUUUAAAGGCUUCAAACUACAACCACACAAUUUAAAGAAAUUCUACUUUGUCUAUGUCAAAAAGUUAAUCACUUUUUAACUUAUUUCACGUCCAAUAAAACUUAUAAUAUAAAUAUAAAUAUUUAAGUUACUAAGUUGAAGUAGUCACUUGGUCUUAAUAGAGGUUCGAUUCUCGUUAGACCCAUAUCAAGAAGUUUACGCACUACAUAUUGUUAUUUGUGUAAUUUACUAAAAUACCUUAUUUAUUCGAUGUUUCUUAAGAAUUGAACGUUUUAUAGUUCUAAAACAAUACAAUGGUAUAGUUACAAACAAUUAUUAUCUCUUAUCUUAAAUUAAUCAAUUUUAGGAAAAAAAAUUUCCUUGCUAAAGGAUAAAGGAGUUUUUUUUUUAAAAAAAAAGAUUAUAUUUCAGAAAAUAUUUUUAAUCGUACAAAUAACCACAAUUAUAUUUCCAUUCUUUUCUAAACUUAUUUUAUUUUAUAUAAAAUAAAAUAAAAUAAAAUCUGAUUUCUUUAGGAAGCACAUGGCAAAGGUGUCAAAAUCCUUCUGCUCGUGCUGAUUUUCAUAUCACAUGCCUUUUACCAAUAGUUUACCUUAUUUUUUUUUUUUGAAAAAAGACAAAUAUAUCUGAACUAUCGUAAAUGAUAUGCAAAUACCCUUGAUCAUAUUUUUGAGACAUUGGUGUCCAUGUCAUCCAAAGGUUAGAGAACAUAUACCCUUUAUACUAUCGGACAUACACGGUGUCAUAAUCUUAUCCACUGAUCCGAUAUUUAUCGACGGAUAAGAUCGUGACAUAUGUCCCUAUUUAGUCCACCGUUAAAGUGAACAUGCAUAUAAGCUCUAGUUUUUGAACGGCAUGGACACCAAUAUCUCAGAAAUAUGACGAAGGAUAUCUAUAUAUCAUUUACGAUAGUUCAAAAAUAUAUUUAUCUUUUUGUCUUUAUUUUUUAAUAAUUUAAUAUUCCAUACUCAUUUUGAAUCAAGGAUAUAUAUAAAUAACUAAUACUUUUCAUUAUGAAAUUGAAAAAUAAUCAUCUAUUACAUAAUUUCUAAGACAUUUAAAUAAGGCUUCACAUGUAAAAAGUGCCUACCCCAUACUAUUACUAUAUAUAUUAUUAAAUCACUUUAUGAAAAUUAUAUUACAACUCGAUUGGAGAAAUUUCAAAAUAUAACAUAAAAUUUCACUCGUAAAAAGUGGUUAAUCCGUACUAUUACUAUUAUUAAUAACAUUAAUGUACCAAGGACGAUUCGAUUUUAAGGUUCAAUUUGCUAGCUUUUGCCAUUGCUUUCGGCCUUUCAGAUUCGAUUAGUCUAUAAAUAUAUCCUAAAGUUUUGUUUUUUUUUUAUGAAAAAUAAUCAAAUAUAUUGUUGAAUUCUUCAAAAUGAAUUUAUUUUACCCUCUAUUACAUCUUUUUUUUGGUUAAAAAAUAACUUUUCAUUACUAAAAUAGUUGAAAAAUACAUCGUAUAUAUAGUUUAAAUUUUGAAUUUGUCUCGUUAAAUAUAUAAAGCUUAUAUCUGUACUAGAAAGUCGGUAAAACAACAGAAAAUACAUACACAAAAAAAGUUCAUAGUACCUCAGAGUGUCAGCUCUUUCACUUUCCAUUGUCAACAAGAAAAAGGUUCAAUUUUUUUUAAAAAGAUUACAUUUUUAUGUAAUUUAUUUGUUAAUUACUCAUAAAAGAUUAUAUCUUUGUUUAAUUUGGUAGCAUUUGUUUAUUCAUGUGAGAUUUAUGUGUAUAAUAUUCAAAGAAUGUUUGUUUAUUUUGAGGGAAAAAAAAUACUUUUUUAAGUAAUGGGUAUUUGAUGAUUGAUUUAUUACAGUUCAUAUCUUGUCAGCAAUCCGCGUUUUUUUUUUUUGUAUUAAAUUUGUUAACUUGGAGUGAAAUUCUUUGUCUCUGCAGUCACUAUCAGAUCUGAAUUUUGGUUUUGUUUGUGGGGGAAACAUAGCAAGUUAAAAAAGGCAUUGUCUUUACAAGGUAAUAUCCAAGUGUAUUGGGGUGUGUGUGUGUGGUGGAAUUUGGGAUAUUUUAAAACAGGUGUCAAAUGGAAUGAAAUUUUUAGGAGAUUCUUGAAGCUUUGGUGUUGUUGAUGUGUUUGUUUUGGUGUUGAUGGGGUUUGGGGAUCAAGUUUUGAGCUUUAGGAGAGUGUUUAUUUGGGAAUGAUAUUGUUAAGGGGUUCUUUAAGUUUUAUGUUGUUUAUAUGUUUGUUUUGGUGUUUUUGUGUUGUGUGUGAUUGGAUUUGGGGAUAAAGUUUGAAACUUUGGAGGUUCUUGAAGUUUUAUGUUGCUUAUGUAUUUGUUGUAGGUGUUUUUGUGGUUGAAUUCGGGGAUCGAGUUUGAAACUUUGGGAGAGUUCUUGGGAGUGAAAGUGUUAGGAGCUUCGUGAAGUUUUUCAUGUUGUUUAUGUAUUUGUUUCUAGUUGUUUUUGUGGUUUAAGUGCGGGAUCAAGUUUGAAACUUUGGGAGAGUUCUUUAUAGGGAAUGAAAUUGUUUGGAAGUUCUUGAAGUUUCAUGUUGUUUAUAUGUUUGAUCUGAUGGCUUUGUUGUGUGUGUGAUUGGAUUUGGGGAUCAAGUUUGAAACUUUCGGAGAGUUAUUUGGGAAUGGAGUUUGGAGGUUCUUGAAGUUUCAUGUUGUUUAUGUACUUGUUUGUGUUUUUGUGGUUGAAUUUGGGGAUCAAGUUUGAAACUUCGGGAAUGAAUUUGGAAGUUUCGUGUUGAUUAUGUGGUGUAUGACUGUAUUUGGGGUUCAAGUUUGAAGCUUUGGGAGGUUGUCAGGGAGUAAAUGUUUGUUGGAUCGAAUAGACUGAUUAAGGAUUCUAUUAUUGACUAUUGUGGAGCUCUUCUGAUGAGCUGAGAUGUGAAAAAAUAGAAGUGAUCUCAGGAUUAAAAGAAAAGAAGAACGUGGGAGGUUCAUAUUCUCUGGAUUCGACUAUAACAAGGUAUAAGUUUCAACGUCGUGUUGGAAUUUGGGAGAUUUAACUUGGAAUAGUUUGUAGGUCGAAAAUGGGGUCAAGACAAGAGAGGCAUAGAUCUGAUCAUGAUCUUGUGCCAUUAGCAGCACUGAUAAGCAGAGAAUUGCGGAAUGAAAAAAUGGAGAAGCCAACUGUAAGAUACGGAUGUGCAGCUCAGUCUAAGAAAGGUGAGGAUUAUUAUCUGAUGACGACAGAUUGCCAGAGAAUUCAUGGCAAUCCUUCAUCCGCCUUCUCUGUGUUUGCGGUAUGUAUUUCUCCAUCUUUUUCCCCAUCAAACUCCAUCUUUUACCACAUUAAGUGGGGUCGAUGUGAAUUUUUGUAUCAAUUUCACUUAGUUUCAGGUUUAUUGCACCCUGAUACAUUUAUCCAUUUCUCCAUCUUCUACUAGACAAACUUGUCGUCUUAAUCAAUCGAUUACAUGUAAAAUUUCCAGUCUUUCUUGCAUUGGUUCCAUACACCUAUUAAUCCAGUUUGAUGUCACCCAUUCUAUCUAUAGGCCAUUUAAAAUCAUUAUUUGGAUUUAUUCAGUAGAAUUGUUUUUUAAAAUUGGACUAGAUACUGAAGGUUGACGGUCCUGUCACUGUAUUUGCUUUGUAUGUUCCAUAGUCUUUCCAUUUUAUUCAAGGUUGUUAAGUAUUGAUAUGGUUCAAUAUUACUUUUGGGACUGAAAUUGUGUGCUGGUCGAAUUUUGUUUGAGGUUCAGGUAAUAUGAUGGUCCUUGCAGCUGGAUUCUUCAGUUCAUUAAUUUUCCAUGUAAUUCUUCUUUCCGUCAGAUCUUUGAUGGACAUAAUGGAACAGCAGCCGCAGUGUACUCAAGGGAUCAUCUACUAAAUCAUGUUUUGGGUGCCAUUCCUUGUGGACUGGGGAGGGAUGAGUGGCUUCAAGCUUUGCCUCGUGCACUAGUUGUAGGGUUUGUGAAAACUGACAAGGAGUUUCAGAAGAAAGGCAUGAAAUUUGUGCUGCAUUUCACUUUAUAGCUAUUUUAUUUUGAUUUCAUGGUUCAAUAGUGCUAAUGUAUAUAACUUUCAUUUGUCACUGCAGGACUAACAUCUGGAACUACAGCUACAUUUGUGAUUGUUGAUAGAUGGACCGUGACAGUUGCGUCUGUUGGAGAUUCACGCUGCAUUUUGGAUACUCAGGGUGGUGCUGUUUCAGAAUUAACUGUAGAUCACAGGCUUGAAGAAAAUGCAGAGGAGUAAGUGUCCAUCUUCUAAAUCAUUCCAUCUGGUGUGUUGAUCAGAAAAUGUUCAUCAUCUCUUAAUUAAUUGCAGAAGGGAGCGUGUCACAGCAAGUGGAGGCGAAGUAGGAAGACUUUGUAUUUUUGGUGGUACUGAGGUGUGUUGUAAAUUUGCAUCUCCGAUAUCAUAUCACGGAUGUGAUAGAAAACUUCCAUUUUGCAUCUGCAGAUUGGUCCUCUUCGCUGUUGGCCAGGAGGUUUAUGCCUUUCAAGAUCAAUCGGAGAUAUGGAUGUAGGAGAAUUCAUUGUUCCAAUACCAUAUGUCAAACAAGUGAAAGUAAUACCUUGCUUUGCUUUGCUUUUCUUACUCUCUUUUAGACCAUCUUAAGAUUUACCUUCCUACCAAAUCCCGAUGUACUAUUUUCUGUUCUAUAUCUGAUGUCUCAGGUAGAGACGAGUAAAUUCAUGAAUGGCUCAGGCCCUAACCUUUUCAAAACAUUUUGAAGCUAUCAACUGUAGGUGGAAGGCUAAUUAUUGCAUCUGAUGGAGUUUGGGAUGCCAUAUCAUCAGACAUGGCUGCCAAGUCUUGUCAUGGCUUGCCUGCUGAGCUUGCUGCUAGACAAGUUGUGAAGGUAGUGGAACUCACGCAUCUUUGCAUCGAUAACAAGUACUUAGAAUGAUAUCUUUAACUCAUUUACGUCGUUGAUUGUCUAGGAAGCUUUGAGGACACGAGGGUUGAAGGAUGACACAACAUGCAUAGUAGUUGACAUAAUACCUCCCGAUAACACUGUACAGCCUGCAACUCCGCCCAAGAAGUAUAACAAGCUUCGAUCUCUUUUUUCAGAAGAAACUCGCAAAAAUCUGCUGGUAAACUAUCGAAAAAGCUGUCAGCUGUAGGCAUUGUAGAAGAACUGUUUGAAGAAGGCUCAGCAAUGCUUGCUGAAAGGUCAGAAUUCUCUGGAACUUUGAAACCUUAUUAAUACUUCAUGAAGCUUUCUGUUUCUGUUGAUUUUGAAUUGAAUAAAUUAGACAAGAUUGAUUGUUAAAUACCAUAACUAUUCAACCAUGUUAAUAAGCGUUGAGAUUUAGCCUAAAUGUGGUCUCGUUACAUAGAUACGAGGUGGUUGGCAUGUUUCCCUCGGAUCUCAGUAUUCUUGACUUCUUUUUUCUCAAUUUUCUAUGAAUGUUUUCAAGAAGAAGAGUUUGAUCGUUGUGUUAUUAUGUGGAUUGCAGAUUGGGGAGUGAGGAUUCAAAUGGUCCAUCAAUGUCCGGUCUCUUCAUUUGUGCUGUUUGCCAGGUCGACCUUGCUGCAAGUGAAGGCAUAUCAGUACAUGCUGGUUCAAUUUUCUCGACAAGCUCAAAGCCUUGGCAAGGUCCAUUUCUAUGUGCUGACUGUUGCAAUAAGAAGGAUGCCAUGGAAGGAAAACGACCAAGUGGUGUUAAAGUCACUUAACUCGUGCAUCGUUGCCAAGUUGUGUCUACAAUUUUGUUACAGUAAUUCUUUCUGAUAUCUGCCUCAUAUCUUAGUUAAAUUCAAAGGUGAUUUAUUGAACAUUGGCAUCAGAGCAUAAUACUAUAUGUCAGCCAAUAAUGUAAAUAGGUUCUAUCAAACGAAGAAGUGUGAUAAUAGUUAUGAGAUUAAUCUAAAAGAUGUAUUUUCUUCUUGUUGUUCCUUGCUUGUUGCUACAUCAUCUUUUUUCAUCUGUGUUUGAGCGGAGUGUCUAUGUAAAACAACCUCUCCACCUUCUCAAGGUCUGGUUACACACUUGACGUUACCCUUCUAGACUCCACUCGUGAGAUUACACUGAGUUUAUUGUGAGUUUAUUGUUUGUUGUUGUAAUAAUGACAAAGAGGAAUUUAACUUAACAAUUAAGUUAAUAUCUACUCUUCCUUCUCUUGAGGUAUUAUCUUUUUCUUUUAGCACGAGAGAAUUCCGAAUGUCUUGGUCUUUUUUUCUUUUGUUUGCUUCUUCAUGUCUUGAAUUAUUCAAAUGCAACAUUAGUGUCGGUCGGUAUCCAAAAUAGUAUAAUAAGAUCAAUUAUUGGGAGGAGUUCAUAUGCACUCGAUAUUUAAACCAAAUCAAUAGAUGCACAUCAUGUAUCUGUUUGGACAUAAAUUUUCCAUAACUGAAUAGAUACAAGAUUUUAACUACAUCUAAUUGUGACCAAAAAGGACCCCAAAACCUAGUUUGAGUGGCUAAAGUUGGAGGAUGUGUAGCUUAGGUCGCAGGUUUAAGCUCCACACAAUACAAAGUGAAGUCUGAUAUUUAAGUGGUGAAGGGUAAAGGAGCGGAUCCAUUAUGUACCGAGUUUAAAAGGUUGUGAUUGAUUCAAAGGGUGGAUCACAGACGAAUUUCUCCAUUAUCAAAAAAAAAAAAUGUGUGACCAAAAGAAGAAAGGAAAAGUCAGUUUAAAUAAUACAAAGAAAGAAGAAGAAAAAUUCUUAGAUUCUGAUCAAUUCAAAAUUAAUGCAUAGACUUUUCCAAUCCCAAGUCUUUGCAGUACAGUUCUUAGAGUAAUGUUUGGAUUGGCUUAAAACAAUAGGUUGAUUGUUCAUAUAUUUUAAAUUGUAAUUUUUUGUCAAAUAAUUUGUGAUAUUUACUAUCGUGUAAUUUUCUUAAUAUACCGUACAUAAUGUUUUCAAGUUACUCACGUGAGAAGCACGUGUCCAGGAUUCGUAUUAUGAUGAAUUUAAAGCUCCAAAAUAAAAAGUUGAAUUAUCAUUUUGCCCCUCUGCUAAAGUAAAAUUUGAUUGAAUAUAAAUAUUUUGAUCACUUAAUUGUAGAAUUUGAAGUUCUUAAACCCUUCAAUAAUUAAAUUAUCAUUUUCUUGAUAAAUGAGUACAUUGAUAUUGCUUUUAAUCUUAAUCAUAAAAAUCUCAUAAUGAAGGAAUUUGAAAAAUUAUGAUAUUAAAAGUUAUUCAUCACUUUAAUGUAGAAAACAAUUUCAGAAUUAAAAUUAAAAUUUAAAGGAUCAUUUCUUACUUCUAUUUAAGAACCAAAUUAUAAAGACGCAAUCUCAAAUAGAAAAUCGAAUUAUGGAAAUUGCACAAUUUAACAUGAGAAAAUAAGAGAGUUAGAAGUUGCAAAAUUUAACAUCGAGCAUGAAGACUUCCUUUGCGAUAUCCUCUAACUUUUCGUUCUUGCUUAAUUUCUCCAUUAUAAAAAUUUUCUUCAAUGAAGCAUUUAGAAUUGUAUGGGUGUUGGACUUGAAGGAGGUCAUCUUUUUUAAACAGACUAAAAAAAAAAGGAGGUCAUUCUUUUUUAAACGGAGGAAAUAAUAUUAUAAUCAUUUAAUUAAUCAUUAAAUAAUAAAACACAUCGUAUUACAAGUGGAAAGACCUUAAAUGAAAAGUUACAUUAUAAUCAAUCAUAAUAUAAUACUUACUGCCCUAAUGACUUAAUGAAAUGUCCAGAUCAUAAAUGUUGAAGUAAUUUUCUAGCAAUAUCUUUAAGAGAAAAGACCAAAUAACCACUUAAUAGCACAGAUAAUACUAAUUCAAUUGGUUAUUUAAAUACAAUUAGGAGUUUUUUUUCUUUUGCAUUAUCUUUUUUCAGGUAAAUACAUCUCAAAUCUAAUAUAAAAUUUGUGUGUAAUGUUCUAUAAAGAAAACAUUUUGAAGAAAUAUUGUUUUCUUUUACAUCAUGGAGAAACAUGUAUGCAUGUUUAAUAUAAAGUAACUAUUAUAUAAAUAGUAUCAAAACUACCCAUAUUUUAACUUUACAAAUAUUAAAUCAUUUUUGAAUGUAAGAGUAAGGAGAUUAAAAUAUAAGAUUAAUAUAUAUUAUGCUUUGAAAUUUGUAUUUUUCAAUAUACUUUAAUAUCUAAAAGACAAUGGUGAAGAUUUCAUUAACGAGGUGGCAAGUAUUAGCAGAACAUUUAACAUCGUGAGCCUUGUGGGAUUUUGUUUUGAGGGUCACAAAAUCUCUUGUAUAUUACUUCAUGUCAAAUGGAUCUUUUGAAAAAAUUAUCUAUGAGGGAAGAUCCGAUAGUGUUUGUCAAUUAGAUUGGCCAAUACUGCACAAAAUUGCACUAGGCAUUGCUCGAGGAUUGGAGUACUUAAAUUGUGGUUGUACCACUCUGAUAUUGCUUGAGGAAUAUUUUUGUUCGAAAAUAUAUGAUCUUGUCAAAUUGUGCAUAAAAUAGGAGAGUAUUGUGUCAAUGUUAGGUCCACAAGGGACUAUCGGCAACUAAUCGGAAAAAUGAACUGGACGAAGAGAUUCAACUAAUCGGAAAAAUGAAUGAAGAGAUAAAGAAUGUGCAAGAAAGAUAGUGAUGGUGAGUUUAUGGCGUAUGCAGACUGAUCUCACAAAUCAUCAUCGAUGAGGAAGAUUGUGGAAAUGUUAGAAAGGAAAGAAACUCUCCGCAAAUGCCUCCCAAGACUUACCUAUAUUCUCCCACAAGAACAGAAGUCGAUUUUUCAGUACUAGUCGAUUUUUCAGUACUAGAGUUGCCUAGUCUUAAUGUGUUCAUAUCAGUAUAGUAGAUCAAAUAUUAAGACAACUAAAGAAGUUUGGUUCAACCAAUAUAGUUGUAAUUAUCUGUCUAAACCUUCAAAGAAAUAUAUAUAUAACGAAGAUUUAAAUUUUUGUUAUUGUAAUUAUCUUUAGUCAAAAUGCAAAGUUUCCCAGAUUUUCAUGACAAAGAAAGAAAAUCUAAGUUCAAAGAGAACUCUCAUAUUCUUAAUCCUGAGAACUUUCCUAAUCCACUAAGUUGACUGGAAAAUAACAAUAAAAAAAUUUUCCACUGAACAAUUAACAUAAUAUCUAGUAUUCCUUUUCUUGAGGUAGGAAUCAUUUUGUUCGAGUAUAGGAUAAUUCCAUAUGACUUUUAGUCUUCCUCUUUUGUUUGCUUCCUCAAUUAUGAGUAUUUUUCCAUGAUUUAUUCACGUUCGAUAUGUCUUUUUAGAUCAACUUAGAGAUGCUUUUCCUAGUAGAGCUGAGCAGUAACGGAGUCAGAAAUUUCACAAAGGGUGUCCAGAAAUAGCACAGUAAAAACUCUUCUAAAAAAGUAGAACUGGUGAGAUUCAAACACACGAGCACUACCCCAUUCCAAAGAGGUGAAACCACUAGGCUACAAUAGCUUAUUGUGUUAAAGUUGUCCAAAAUAUGUUAUUUAAUCAUUUCGUGGAUCAUUUUACUUAUAUAUACGAUAUUUUUCGACGAAGGGUGUCCAAUUACCAUCUGGCUACGCCACUGGAGUUGAGGGUCUAUCAGAAACAACCCAUGUAACUUCCAAUGUAGGGGUAAGCUAAGGUCUACGUACACUAUACCCUCCCCAGCUGGACUCUCCAAAAAUGAAGUCUCACCCGUGUCGGAUACUCAAAAAAUGCAUUACUUUUGGAGGAUCCGACACACACCCUGUGGCUUUUUUGAAGAGUCCGAGUAACAUAGCUCCCCAGACCCCACUUGUUGUUGUUAUUCUUUUGUUUGUUUCCAUGUUUCGUGUAAUCUUUGGUUUUGGAUAUCUGAUUUCAUUUGUGGUUCACUAUGUUUAGGUGACCUCACCUUAUUGUUGUUAUUACGGUUCCUUGCAUAUUAGUAACAAUUUUACUAUUCACACAUUGGCAUAAAUAUAGUACCUGAUAGCCUUCAAUCAAAAUGAUUUGUUCUAUAUUCAAUUUUUAUGCAGCAGCAAAGACGAAAGUUAACUCAAACUAGUGUGGAAUCGAAACAUACUUGAUUGAUAUAUAUACACUCGCUACAAUUAGUUGUUGUCAUGCUUUUAGAAGAAAGUGAAACAAAACUCAAUACUCAUUCCACCCAAUUUAUGUCCAAGUCCUUGAGUUUCAUGAGCCAUUUCUUUGCAUCUUGUGCAACAAAAGGUUUAGACGAUGUCGUUUCACAAUUUACAUCAUUAGCUAAUAAUUCAACUUUCUUCUCUUUGGCAAAGCUUGCUUGUCUGUUAGGAUGCCUUACCUUAAGUGACAGAAGACGCGAAACUUCAUGAAGGCCGCCCCAUUUUUCUAACGCACGAGCAAUAUCAUAUCGGCCUGUAGGAGAUAACUAGUACAAAUCAGAAGUAUUCGUGAGGUGAAGAACUAGAGCAACUCUAGGCCUGGGAAACAUUACGUCGUUUGCAUUGUAAUCUAGUUCCAUACCUGCACGUUCGAAGGAUUUUCUACUAGGCAUAUACGAUAGAUCCAUUCCCCAGUUCUUCUGGAAUCGACUGAUCUGAGAAAUUGCAGAUCAUUUCCAAGCUCAAUCAAAAUAAUCAAGAAAAUAUGAAAUGCAACUAGGUUGGUUAAAUCUCCUAAAAGUGAAACUCGAUUUUUUCCUGCAUUGAUCAGUAUCUUAUGCUGUUUUUUGUUUUUUUUGCAUGUAUUCACAGUUUUUGCAUGAAAUGAGAAGUUGAUAAUACGUACGAAGAACUGUUAACUAACCUCCUCUUGUAAAUUUUCUAAGCUAUCCCAAUAACCUUUUGGUUUGCGGUGUUUGUAAGCAAGAGAUAGAUUCAUCAAUGAAGAAAUUCUUCUAAAACCUCCCAUACGUGUAAUCGCCUUUUCAAUAUCAACUCUUCCAUGUUUUCUGAGUUGCUUUCUCAUAGGCAUAAAUCCUUCUUGUCCAUGUUCGGAAAUAAAAUCCAAGAGCUCAGCUUUAAGAACUUCAAUAUCCCUCUGCAACCCUGGAACUUUCGGCCUUUGUCUAGGUGAAUGUAAACUACUACUAUCUGAAUUCUGCCCAGCUUGCCUAUCAUAAUGAACAGAUGAAUCCUUCAUUGAUGAACUAACCGAUGCCUCUCGGAAUUCAUCAUGGUUAAAUUUUUCAAGAGGUUUCUCUGUCUCUCGUUCCUCAAUGUAAUCUCGGAUUGCACAUAAGUUUGAUGGAAGGUCCUCGUAUAUGACCUAAUAAUGACAGAGUAAAAGCAGAAGAAAGCACAUAAGGCAUUCUAAUUUGUAAAAUUUUCUGCAGAUUUAUUGAUGCAAGUUAGGCUCAAGAUCCACUUAACAUAAAUUUCAAUGUUAAGUGGAUGAUGAUUAGAGUAGACAUGAAUACAAACCUCUUCCAUAAUUGCUUCGGAAAGAAACGAAUUCUUGUGCAUUUUUGACUCCACACUAUACUUCAACAGAGUAUGAUGACUGCCUAAUUGCUCUAAGAUCCAUUUUCCUUCAAAAGAAUCGAAAUCUCCUUCCACCUGCUCAAAGCUAAUUUCUUGUUCUAUGAGUUCAGAUAAGUCUAGAACGACACGUGCAUGGAGAACCAUGUAUAGAAGACCCUUGCAUCCUUCCUGGAAAUGGACAAGUAGAAGCAUCACCUAAUAUUCGAGAAACAUAUCUCAUUGCAAUACACAACGUAUUAUUCACUCUGUCAUUUACCUGAAGAAUGCGAACUUUGUUGUUGUCUCGUGAUAAGAUCUUACUGAUUGCUAAAUUCGGAACUAUCCUGCAACAGUUUGGGAUGAAUUACCGUUAGUAUGAUGAAAAAGCCAGAAAUUAUAUUAGAAGAAAGUCCUGAAAACUUACUCGGGAAGACUUUCAUAAGCAGUCAAAACAUUCCAUACUUCGCGAACUGGAGCUUUUACUGUAAUACUAGCAACAACGCAACGAUGAACACCUCCAUUUUCCUUCACUUCCAAAAUCAAUUUAUCAAAGGGACUACCAAAACAAUACAGCUUCACAGGAAAAGGUAAGUCACAGUAUACAGUCUAUUUAAUUACCAGUAGACCAUCAAAUCUUCGGAGAUGGACUUCAUCCACCACACAUGGCUUGUCAAGUCUGCAAGUUUUCCCAAAUAUUCCCCAAUUAUUAGUCACGUCACUUGUAACUGGUGUCGACGGGCCAAAAGUGGCUUUGACAAACUUUUCCUUCAAGUGUUCACCCGAAGAUUUAUUUUCGUGGGAUAUGACAUGAUCAAUAAGGUAAGAACCAGGUUCCUCUUUGGUAACAUUCUGAUAACCUUGAUAACUGUUUUCAGCUCUACAGGACAACGCUUGAAGAUUUACGGGGAGGUCUGACCUGAUAAUCCUCUCCAAGAAAAUGGCUGGAAAGUUGAACCUCGGUAUGACACUAACUUCAUAACUUAGUAUAGCCGUUGAAGACCUGAAAAGAAAAGGCAUUUGCAGGUCGAUCUCUGCAUUAUUCUUGAAGACAACAUAAAAGGAAAAUUAGGAACAACAAAGUUCUGUCUGCUUCGAUAAAGAUCAUACCUUGUUCCAACUCUCACUGACCAUUUGCCUUCAAACUUCUUGAAGUCACCGUCAACCAUAGAGAAAUGGAGCUCGCGAACAUUAUCCUAAAUUUAUACAAGAGUAAUGUAAAACACAGCUCUUGGUUUAGACACCCAACUCAGAUGAACUAUCAUACACAGAGAUUUCAUAAGCUUACGGAUUUAAUGAAUUCUUGGAGAUCCAAUACAACGCGAGCUUCUAUGUGCCAAUAGAGAGAUCGUUGGAUACCUCUUUGCUCCAACCAAAUACGCCCAGGACGUGGACAAGGGAUUCUCCUACUGUGAUUAACAAGUGAUUCAUGCAUCAGUGUGUAGUGCAAAGUAUAUCCCAAAAAAUCAUCAGAACCAUGACGAUAUGACAAACAGAGAACUUCAAGAUAAUAUGAAUGUCAGCAAAGACUCUAGAGACGCCCGUAACAGAUAUCCAUCUCUACUGUUUGUACCGAAUAUGUUUAUUCCGAAUUGUACCAGAAGAAUAAAGGCCAAAGACAGCCUCUCAUUGCAGUAAGUUGUAGGCAUGUCUCAAGUUGUACCAAAGUACGAACUUCACGAAAAACAAAAUGAGGUGUUUGAGCUAGCUUGCCCGCACCUGACUAUUCCUCUAGGUACCUGUUAGCUCCUCACUAAUAUAGAUAUCCAAGUAACUCUAUCUAUCAAUGCUAUAGGAAGAAACCACAUAGCAUUUUUUGUGCCUCUGUAUUAAUUUAAGCAUAAGACCUCACGGUUCUCCACUCACUUCAUUGAUCACUAGUUCACACCCCUUGGUAACAAGAUCGAAUGUAGAGUGUAGGAUGUUGAUUUUGCCAAAAACAUUAGUUUUGAUUCAAAUCCUAUAUUUGUUUUAAGAAUACAUUCAAUAUGUAAAGAAGUCAUAAUACGUAAACACACACUCAAACUUGUCCUCAACUCACACAUAAAGCACUAUAACUUUGAGAGUGCACAUCUAAACAUCUCAACCAAUGGCGGAGCCAGAAUUUUCACUGAAAUAGGUUCGAAAUAUGAAUAAAUAAACACACAAAGAAGCCGAAAGAAAGUUCAACGUCUACUAUAUAUAUACAUAUAAAAAAAAUCAACCAUGUAUAAAUAGUGUAAUUUUUCGACGAAGGGUAUUUAGAUGAACCUCUCGACCCUAUCUAGCUUCACCCCUAAGCUCAACUUAGUCUCAACUAGCAACUAACCACUCCAACUCCCCCCCUAAAAUCCCAAACUCAUAAGCUUCAAAUCCUCGCUCCGAUUUACAACACAAACAUCAUUUAUUAGCAAAAAGGAGAUACAUUGCAUCUAUUACCUGCUAACAAGAUUCGGGACGAAAUCAGCAAGCCUUUCAUAAUCAGUAAGAGCAUUCCAUACAGAAUCAACAUCAGCAUUCACCAAAAUCUCAGCUUUAAUCUUUCGUUCUCUCCACGAAACAACUUCCACUUCACAUCCAACAUUUUUCUCUACUCCCAUUGCAUCUCCUCCUAAAAAAUCCCCUUUUCUAUAAUAGUAAAUUCUAAAAUUCUCAUUCUUCGAAUCAAAUUUAACAUAGUCCGAAGAUGAAAAACUCGAUUUCCAUGAACAAAUUGAUGAUAAUUUGUUAUUGAUUUCAUAGUUUUUUGGUUUGAUUGUGAAAUGGAAAUGCAGAGAAUACAUAGAGUGAAGUGAAAGUGAAAAACUUUGUGUUAAAAUUGAAAAUUUUAUUAACAGAAGUGGUUAUUUCUGUUAUAUAUAUUGUUAUUUGAUUGACAGUUAAUUAUUGACCACAUAUAUGUUUUGGAUAGAAGGGACCAUAAAUGAGUGGUCACAACUCACAAGCUUAUGAAUUUCUUUUACUUUUUUUGUUGUUUCGAAAUUAUAAUGUUAUUUUUAAUUCAAAUCGAUGGUGAGAUAAUUACUCUCGAAAAAACUUGUUUUUGAGGGGUCGUUUCAUAGAUGGUUUAGAUGUGAGUGAUGGAAGUAUUAAAUUCUGCAUAAGUAAAAACUAUGUUUGGUAGCUGAUUAAGAGGUAAAUUAUUCGUGUAUAAAAUUAAUAUUGUGAUUGGUUUGGAAUUUAAAACAAACAUGAAUAAAAUUAUUUUAUGCGGGAAAGAAGAUGGAAUGACUAAUACAUGAAUAAAUUAAUCUCCGCAUAACUUAUAACUAAUAUUAAUUUGUGUAGUACAGUACAUAGAUUCACUUAUAAUUAAUCAUGUCCUACUAAUAUUUAUAUACCUCUAACCAGCUAUCAAACGACGUUUAAGUGCUACCAAUUGAAUUUUAAAUGUAACGUGUAUAUUAUUUACUAAACUUUUAAAUAUAUACUUAUUCAAUUUCAACUUCUCAUAUGACAUAUUUAAGACCACGGUAUUGAAAGAUGUUUUAGUACAUUCUAUGUAUCUUUAAUUCAAAGCAGCAAAACUCAAAAAUCUUUCUUCUUUUUUUCUCUCUCUUAAAUUUUGUGUUCAAAUCAAAAUUAUACAAAACAAAUUGAAACGAGCAUAGUAAUAAUAAUUUCUAGAUGAUUUCUUUUUUUUUCUUUAGCUAUUUUUGACGUAUAUGAGCUAUCUAUGAAAAGUCUUUUGAAAAACACCACUUAUGUCAUUUUCAUAACUUUCAAUCAACCAAAAAAAAUCACAAAUCACAGAAUAUGUGUAACAAUAUUAUACUCCAAAGUCCAAAUAUCUAGAAAAAAACUAUUCAAACCUCCAAGUUUCCAUCAAAAUCAAUCUCAAAUCACCAAACAAUUAACAUAUUUUACACUAAAAUAUCUAAUAAGAAAAAAUAUUACAAAAAGUUGCAACAAUUACAAACAUACUCCCAAAUAGUAAAGUUUGUCCAAGUGUAUACGUAGAUCUUAACUAUGCCUUAGAGAUGAGGUCAUUAUUAGUUUCUACCAUAAAGGAAAGACUCCGAACUAUAUAACGCAUACCUUUCAACCCCACAACGGGAUCAGGUAGGGGUAAGAUCUGCAUAUAUCCUGCCUUCUCCAGGAACACACUUGUAGAAUUACAAAGGCGUUAAAUGAAGCUUUGACAAUAUUUCCCCCUUAUUGUUAGUCCUGAACACUAAGAAUGGUUAUCUAAAACGCGUGUUGAUUCCACUCUUGAAGUGACUAAACAUCAACUCUGAAUACAGGCCUAGAUCGUUUGCACAGUUCCUUUUCCUCAAAUCAACUAAGUUGAUUCUUCCGCGCAAAAGUUGGUCAAUACCUACCAAAGACCCUUAAUUCACAAAGGCGUUAAAUGAAGCUCGAGUAGAUUACCUAUACAACAAGUUGUAGUAAGAAACUUCCAAGUCAAACUAACAACAUUGAAGUUUAACAUAUGCCAAAUAGGAAUUCUAGUGAACAAUGCAAGUCUAUAAAAGUUACCUAUAUUUCAAGUUAGAGACUAUCCAAUGAAAGAAAUGAAAAUGACUCAUUAGAAAACAUGAGGAGAAUAGUCCUUAGUUGGUUUAGUCACCACAGAAGAUCGAGUAAGGAAUUCUGUUUACUCUUUCAAACUCCAAAGUUAUAUAUUCAAAUGAUACUAAGCACAUAUUAUAUGAUAUGUUGCUUCUCAUGUUGUUGUUUUUCUUCUUUUAAACAUAAGGGGUACUGGUUAGUCGUUUAUCGUCAUGGAUUUAGCUUCUUGGCUUUUCGUCUUCGUUCUGUUUCAUCAUACAUGUUUUGAUUCUGUUCAAGGACAGAACACACCUUAUUCAAACUGUCCUCAAGAAUUCCAAUGUGGAAGUUCAGAAAUUCUGAGUUUUCCUUUCUACAAACCCGAUCAACCAGAUUGCGGAUUGUGUAAAGUUGAUUGUGAUACUUAUCCCAAUCCGGUGAUCGAAUUGGAAGGAGUUAACUAUCAAGUUGUUGAAAAACAGAAUCCUUUUGUCAAAAUUAAGGAUCCUGUUCUUGAAAAUCUCUUAAAGGAAAAGAGUUGUCGAUCUUUCGAGAGAAAUCUAUCUCUACCAAUAUCUCCUAUAAUCACUUAUACUGUCUACCCUUUCCUCGCCUUGUUUAAAUGCAAUACUAGUAAUGAUAUCUCGUACGAGGGCUUUCAAAGCUACAAUGGUUGCGAAAGUUUCACUUUGUACUAUAACCAUUCAUCCGUUUCUUCUGUUGGAUCUACUCUUCCUACUCAAUGUUCAAUGAUUCAUUUGCCUAUGGUGUCCGAUUAUAAAUCAAAAUCGAACAAUAGUAACCUGUUCGAUAUGUUGGCUGCUGAUGUUUCUCUUGGAUGGUCUGUAUCUAGGACAUGUAAUCAGUGUUACUCGAGUGGAGGACGAUGUCAAGUUGAUAGUAACAACAAAUUUGUUUGUUCUGUUAGUGAUCAAGGCAAAGGUAUUCAAGAAGUAAAAUAUGCCUAAUUCAUUCAUCUUAGUACUCUUUAUUUAUUCGUUUUUCGUAUUGCAGGAAAGCACCAUCUUCGUAGACCAUGGAUCGUUGUUUUAGCCACAGGUAACUAAACUCUUUUGUAAAACUGUACUAGUUGCAUUGUCCCGAAUAGACACUCUUCACCGGAGUAUGACUUCAUUUUCCUCCGUAUAGUUGCAGUUCUCGGUUGCAUUGGAAUCUUGAUUUUGCUGUUCUGCUUCAGAAAAAAGAUUUUCUGGCAUAAGUACCUUAGGUUUUGGGAAUCGAAAGCUGAGGAUCAUCAAAAUAUUGAAGCAUUUUUGAAGAACUACGGGCCAUAUGCUCCGAUGAGAUAUAGUUAUUCAGACAUCAAAAGGAUGACCAGUAGCUUCAAAAACAAACUAGGCCAAGGAGGAUAUGGUUAUGUAUACAAAGGAAGUCUACAUAAUGGAAAUCCUGUUGCUGUGAAGGUUCUGAAUGGAUUAAAAGGCAGUGGUGAAGAGUUCAUAAACGAGGUAUCGAGUAUUAGCAGGACAUCACAUGUUAAUAUCGUGAGCCUCGUGGGAUUCUGUUUUGAGGGACGAAAAAGAGCUCUAGUUUAUGAAUUCAUGCCAAAUGGAUCACUUGAAAAGUUUAUCUAUCAGGAAAGAUCAGACACAGACAGAGUUCGUCAACUAGAUUGGCAAGUACUGUACAAAAUUGCAUUAGGCAUUGCUCGUGGAUUGGAGUAUUUGCAUCGUGGUUGUAACACUCGGAUUCUACAUUUUGAUAUCAAGCCUCAUAACAUACUUCUUGAUGAAGACUUCUGUCCUAAGAUAUCUGACUUUGGCCUUGCUAAACUCUGCGUAAAAAAGGAAAGUAUAGUGUCAAUGUUAGGUGCACGAGGGACUAUCGGUUAUAUUGCUCCUGAAAUUGUUUGUAGAAACUUGGGAGGUGUCUCACACAAGUCUGAUGUUUAUAGCUAUGGAAUGAUGGUGUUAGAGAUGGUUGGAGGAAGGAAAAAUGUUGUUGAUCGAACGAGUGAAGUCUACUUUCCAGAUUUGCUUUAUCAACGAAUUGAACUAGACGAAGAACUUCAACUAAUCGGGAUAAUGAAUGAAGAAGAGAAAGAAUGUGCGCGAAAGAUGGUGAUAGUGAGUCUAUGGUGCAUCCAAACUGGUCCUGCAAAUAGACCAUCUAUGACUAAAGUUGUCGAAAUGUUAGAAGGGGACUUAAACUCUUUGCAAAUUCCUCCAACACCUUACCUAUAUUCUUCCUCAAGUUCAGAAGUAAAAUUGAUCUCAUCAGUAGAAGAAUCGAGUUCCCGAUCAACUCUCACUAUCUCCACCAGAUAGGGAUAAAGUGAUUUGUGUACGUAUAUUCGUUCCCUUCAAACCUUAUUUGUGGAAUUACACAAAAGUAUAAUGUUGUUAGUUGUACAAAAUUUCUUCAUAGUGCUUUGAAUGGUUGUUUAUUUAUUCUUUGCUUUGUUAGAAAUAUGUGUAAGAUUGACUGGAAAAUAAUGAUCACAAAAAGCAAGACUAAAUAAAAUAUGGCUUAGUCUUUUUUUUUUUUUUUUUUUGAGGUGGGAAUUUUUUUGAAAAAAUGAUCAUUAUUUGAAAAAAAAUUACUUACACUUAGUACAAUAACAUAUUCAGUAUAAUUUUAAAAAAAUUAAUUUGAAAAGCAUAGAAUAUACGUUGAUUUUACUCUUGUCUUUAUAGAUAAGAGAGAUAUUUUUUCUGAAAGACACUCGAUUCUUUUUUCUCAUGCAUGAAAUUAUAUCAUAAAGUCAUAUCAAUUUGUUAUGAUUUGUAUGUUUUAAAAUGUAUUUUCUUAAACCUUUAUUUGUAGCUCUAAAAUCAUGACGAUAACUACAUUAAAUAUAUCAUAUGAAGUCAUAUAUAUUUUUCUCUCUUCUUUCUCUUUUGUGUUUGUAGUUAUGAAAUCCUGACAAGCCGAUGUAGUUUAGUAAUCUGGCUCGUAAGAUAUCUAGGUUAAAUAUUGCAUAAAGUUAUAUCGAUCUAUCAAGACUUAUAAGCUAUAGUUUCCGAUUUCGCUUCUUCUUGCCAGCUCACUUGAUCAUCUUUGUUGUUCAAUUUAGAAGUAUUUUGAUACGUAAAUUUUUCACUCAAACUUAAAAGGCUAUUUUUGCACAAAUAUCAGAACCUGGCAUAACAUUUAAAUAGCAAUACAAAAGUUCACUUUUGUGCAAACCACUCCAAUUUACAAGACCUCAAGCCCAAAGAAAAAUCCCAAGUGGGCUAACUUAGGCCCAUUAUGAAGUAAAUUCAUUUUUUCUUUUUUGUUUUUUCGCCAGGCGUCCGGUUAACAUAUUGGAGCCCGGCUAAAUCUGACUUCGCAUCGGAAAAGUUUCACAUUGGAGGUAAAGCACUUUCUAACAAAGACGAAUUCGAACUCGAGACCUCUGAUUGUGGUUGAAGGAGUAUCGUAAAUCUUUUUAGUAAAUAUAUCAAAAUCUUAAAAAACAACUAAUAAAGGUAGGAUGACAAACAGUACGGUGUGUUGCAGAGAAAACUCGUGCAAAAAAAAAAAUAUAUAUUGAACUACUUCAAAAAGUAAGAAAAAAUCAUUAAAUUAUUUUAUAAUCAUAUUUUAAUAGUAAUCUCGUAUCUGCACCUGCAUAACUCUAUAUACUCGUUUUGUACAAAUUCAAACUCGCACCAUUCUAUUGUCUAUCCCUAAUUGCAUAAUUGCUUUUGCCGCUCCAUCCUUUUAACUUUAUGGCGCUAUUUUCUUAAACAACUAAAUUAGAAUCUUUUUUUUUACAAAAAAAGAAAAAGUUUAGUCAAAGAAAAAAAAAAGUAUAGUAUAUAAAAAAAAAUUAAAAAAAGGUUUAUACAUGGGAAAUGUUGCAUGAAAUCAAGUAAAUUAUAGCAUUUGAUUUUGGUCCCACGUUGGAGACAAGAAGAGAAACAGAAGGUAAUAAUUUUAUUUUAUUAUUCAUAAUAAAGUGUAAAAGACAAAUUAUUAAACAAAUCAUAUUUCUAAUCAAAAUUCCUAAAUUUUGCUUUUUGUCGUUAGACCAAAUGAUUAAUCUCCUCACUUUAAACAUAAACUUGCACUCUUUACCUUUUUCUUUUUUUUUUUGCUUUAUUGUACUUCUCUCUUCUUUUUUUGUCAUUAUAGUUGGUAACUAUUGUCAUUUUAGGUAUUUUAUUACAACUUAUUAAUAAGGAAAAAGGUUAAAAUAUAUCAUUAAACUUUCAGAAAAUGUUUAUUUAUGUCAUCCGUUAAAAGCUUACCUCAUUUAUAUCAUUACUGUUCAAGAAAAAACUCAUUUAUGUCAUUAUUUUUAACAGUGAUUUUGCAAAAUCAUUUUUGACACGUCGCCAAUCGUAACUAGGCCACGUCAUCAAUUUUUUUAAUAAAAAAAAUCAUAAUUCUGAAGAAGUAAAUUGGAUUAAAUUUUUUUAUUUAAAAAAUUGAUGACAUGGCCGAGUUUUAAUUAGUCACAUAUCAAAAAUAGUUUUACAAAAUUAUUGUUAAAAAAUAAUGGCAUAAGUGAGCCUUCACUUUAACGGUAAUGACACAAAUGAGUCAAACUUUUAACUGAUGACAUAAAUAAGUCUGAUCUGAAAGUUCAAUGGCAUAUUUGAGCAUUUUCCCUCUUAAUAAUGAUAAUUGAAAUUUUAAAAGUAUAUGUUAAAUUUAUUUAUUUAUUUUGUCAUUUUAGGUAUUUUUACAACUUCAUAAUAAUGAUAUUUGAAUUUACCCGAAAUACAAGGAAAUUGUUUUCGAUAAAAUAUUUUUUCAACAUUGAACACACAUAAAAUAUACGAACUUUCAUUUUUUUUUUUUAAAUUGUGACAAGUCAAUCAAAAAGGCUUUAUUGUGCAUAGUUUAGUGUAUUAUAGAAGUGACAAAUGAUGUUACAUGGCAUUAAAUUAAAUCUAAGUUUUAAUUUAAUUUAAUUUAAAAGAUUUAUUGGUUUUGUACCCAAAAGCAAAAGUGAAAAUUUUGAGUAGUUCAAGAGAAUGACUAAAAGAACGUUGCUUUGUUUCUUUAUUCAGCCGUAAGGCAAAGCCUUUAUGAACCUUUAAACCCUAGCACUCCCUAAAAAAAAAUUAGAAAAGAUAAUUGCGGUGUUUGAAUCAGAUUAUUUGUAUUUAGAUAUAUUUUGUGAAAUAACAACUAUGUACCUUCAAUUUGUAUAUAUAUGUAGAUUAAUUUCACGUGAUGUAUGUUAUCUUUUGUCAAUAUAAAUAUUAGACAGGUUUUCAUAAAAAAAAUUCUCAUUUUUGUUAAUUUGCAUGUAUGUUGAUUAAUUUCAUGUGAUGUAUAUUAUCGUAUAUCAAUACGAGUAUCAUAUAUAAAUAUUUACGAAGCUUUUUUUUUCUUGUUCUUGUUAAUUUACAUAUAGGUCGAUUUCAUGUGAUAGUGUAUUAUUUUCUGGGAAAUUUAUAUAUAAUAGCAAACUAAUAACCUAAAAUAAAUGGAGUAGCUAGAGUUUGAUUUAAUUGUGCUCCAUAGCAAACGUUAGCUAAAGUUUGUCAGGCAUCUCUCUCCCAAAAAUCUCGCUCGCUACUCUCCAUUCUCGCUCGCCUCUCUCGCUUUAUACACAAAAGUGUAUAAAUUCUGUUUCUGUUUUGUAUAAAGCGAGAGAAAAUUGUAUAUACACAUGCAAAAAUAUAUAUCUUCGUGUUAUACAUUUAAUUAUACAAUUUACAAACAUUUUACUUCAAAUAUUGCAGAGAAAAAGGCCAACGAAUUAUACAAUUGCGAAUUAUACAAUUGCAGUGAAAUACAAUUUUCUCUAGCUUUAUAUAACAAAAGUGUAUAUAUUUUGUUUCUGUUUUUGUAUAAAGCGAGAGAAAAACAUAU